rnacentral:rRNA from 1 species
CCUACGGGUCGCACCAGUGGGGAAUAUUGCACAAUGGGCGCAAGCCUGAUGCAGCCAUGCCGCGUGUAUGAAGAAGGCCUUCGGGUUGUAAAGUACUUUCAGCGGGGAGGAAGGCGGUGACGUUAAUAACCUCACCGAUUGACGUUACCCGCAGAAGAAGCACCGGCUAACUCCGUGCCAGCAGCCGCGGUAAUACGGAGGGUGCAAGCGUUAAUCGGAAUUACUGGGCGUAAAGCGCACGCAGGCGGUCUGUCAAGUCGGAUGUGAAAUCCCCGGGCUUAACCUGGGAACUGCAUUCGAAACUGGCAGGCUAGAGUCUUGUAGAGGGGGGUAGAAUUCCAGGUGUAGCGGUGAAAUGCGUAGAGAUCUGGAGGAAUACCGGUGGCGAAGGCGGCCCCCUGGACAAAGACUGACGCUCAGGUGCGAAAGCGUGGGGAGCAAACAGGAUUAGAUACCCCAGUAGUC